CUACAGAUUCUAGCUGCCAUCGUGACAUUGAUGAGGGCAUUUGCCUCAUAUCAGAAGUAGAUAGAGCUGGUAUUUUCACCUAUGGAGAUUGCUGCAGUGAAUCUGAGAUCACAAUUCCAGAAGCACCCAGUGCAGCAGAUU